rfam:Rattus norvegicus chromosome 4, whole genome shotgun sequence.
GGGGAUUUGGCUCAGUGGUAGAGCGCCUGCCUAGGAAGCACAAGGUCCUGGGCUCAAUCCCCAGCCCCG